GAAAGGCGUUCAGUUUCCUCCCUCAGAAGCAGAGGCUGAAACAGCAAGACAAGAGACUGCUCAAAUCUCAUCAAAUCCUCCAACAUCUGUCCCUACUGCACCAGCUCUUUCUUCUGUAAUUGCUCCAAAGAACUCAACGAUUACAUUGGUCCCAGAACAGAUUGGAAAACUGCACAGUGAAUUGGAUAUGGUGAAAAUGAAUGUGCGAGUGAUGUCCGCCAUAUUGAUGGAGAAUACUCCUGGGUCUGAAAACCAUGAAGACAUAGAGCUUCUGCAGAAACUCUAUAAAACAGGUCGGGAGAUGCAGGAGAGGAUCAUGGACCUGCUUGUGGUGGUGGAGAAUGAAGAUGUAACUGUUGAGCUAAUUCAGGUGAAUGAGGAUUUGAAUAAUGCUAUCCUUGGAUAUGAGAGGUGAGCAGAUCAUGUACCCUCUUUACCCCUCUUCCAUUUCUACUUUCACCACCAAUUACUCAGCAUUCUUAUCAGAGUGCCUACAAGGGACCCCUCUUUCUAGAUUCUCCAUUCUCAAUAGGAAAGGUAUUGGCAUGUGGAGUGGGACAGUUUUUCCUUGUGGAGCUCCUACU
rnacentral:sRNA from 1 species